AAGCAGCCCUAGACAGUAUCGGAUUUAGUGGUUGAGUUUUCACCGAGGUUUGAAGACAUCUCUGUCAUCGGUAUUUCACCAAAACAUGAUGUUGAUGAUUCAAGGCCUCCAUCAGACGGUGACUUAGAUCUUGCUCCCAAGG